rnacentral:rRNA from 1 species
GAUGAACGCUGGCGGCGUGCCUAAUACAUGCAAGUCGAGCGAACAGACGAGGAGCUUGCUCCUCUGACGUUAGCGGCGGACGGGUGAGUAACACGUGGAUAACCUCCCUAUAAGACUGGGAUAACUUCGGGAAACCGGAGCUAAUCCCGGAUAAUAUAUUGCACCGCAUGGUUCAAUAGUGAAAGACGGUUUUGCUGUCACUUAUAGAUGGAUCUGCGCCGCAUUAGCUAGUUGGUAAGGUAACGGCCUAUCAAGGCAGCGAUGCGUAGGCGACGUGAGGGGGGGAUCGGCUGCGCGUGAACUGGAACACGGUCCUGACGCCUACGGGAGGGGGCAGGGGGGAAGCCGCCGAGAUAGUCGCAUGCUUGUCGCAGCGGCCUCACGUGGGAGAUGAAGGUCUUGGGAGCGGAAAGCUGUGAUAUUAGGGAUGAACAAAUGGGUAAGUACCUAUCCACCUCUUGACGGUAGCUAAUCAGAAAGCCACGGCUAACUACGUG